rnacentral:tRNA from 1 species
GCCACGGUGGUCUAGCGGUUAGGACACUGGUCUUGUAAUCCUGGGGUCUCGGGUUCGAUUCCCGGCGGUGCCC